rnacentral:lncRNA from 1 species
AUGAAAUAAAGAAUUUUCAGACUUCAAUUUUUGCACACGUUCUAGAUUUAUUCUGAAAACUGGAUUAUUUUACCAACAAAGUGUAAUCUGGUGAUUACAUUUUCACCUUUUUAUGCAGUUCUCCGGGAAAACGAUAGAAAGGAGUUUUCAAUCUUACUACACAGACAAAGUUCGGUUUUGAUUAUACAAAAGCGGAUUAAGGCAAGGAUUAUCAGGAAAAAGUUCAAAAACUUUGUGAUGCAUCAGAUGUAUUACAAGCUGGCCUAAUCAAGGUGUAUAAAGCUCGGCACACUAGCGCCUCGGCAAGAAACCGGUACAUUCUCUUACAAUGACCAUGACGUACACGUGAUAUCAUACUGUCCACUAAAUUAUAUAUCCUUAUAACAAACAAACUAUGCUCCUUUACGAGAAAAAGAUAACAAGAGAGAUACAUGCCAAGUGGAUAGCUAAAAGUACUCUUUUGUCAUGUAAUAUAA